rnacentral:rRNA from 1 species
AUUGAACGCUGGCGGCAGGCCUAACACAUGCAAGUCGAGCGAGCGGCGGACGGGUGAGUAAUGUAUGGGGAUCUGCCCGAUAGAGGGGGAUAACUACUGGAAACGGUGGCUAAUACCGCAUACUUUCGAUUAAACCCAUAGGGGAUUAGCUAGUAGGUGGGGUAAAGGCUACCCUAGGCGACGAUCUCUAGCUGGGCUGAGAGGAUGAUCAGCCACACUGGGACUGAGACACGGCCCAGACUCCUACGGGAGGCAGCAGUGGGGAAUAUUGCACAAUGGGCGCAAGCCUGAUGCAGCCAUGCCGCGUGUAUGAAGAAGGCCUUAGGGUUGUAAAGUACUUUCAGCGGGGAGGCGUUACCCGCAGAAGAAGCACCGACUAACUCCGUGCCAGCAGCCGCGGUAAUUC